GUGUUAUCUGAAAGUAGUUUGCCUAUUGAUGCCUUGCAGCUGACGUCACAGACGCGUUCCACUGUGUUCGAAUGCUUGCCGCCGCCAUAUUGAGUACCUGCACUGAGUACCUGAACCACACAGGUAGUCGGAGAUGCCGUCAAAAUGCUGUGCAGUUGGGUGUGACAAAAAGAAAGGAGACGGAGAUAUAGCUUUUUAUCGAUUACCAAAGGAAGAAGAACGUCGUCAGAGAUGGCUUUCAGCGAUCAGGAGGGUUAACUGGACGCCGACUGCAAGUAGCCGUCUGUGCAGUGUACAUUUCAUAUCAGGUGCAAAAAGCCAGAACCCACUAAGCCCAGACUAUGUGCCAACAAUAUUUCCUCAUCUAAGUUCUCCCAACAAGC